AGUCUAGUACCUGUGAACAGUUUAAUAUGGGAUCCGUCCUAUACCCAAGGACAAUAUAUUAAAUGGAUUUUUGGAGCAGGGAGAUGGAACAGGAGCUUGCUCCAUCCAUUCCACGCAUUGACCUGCUAUUGCAGUAUCUCCGGGAGCGGGGU
rnacentral:snRNA from 1 species